GGAAAUUUAUCAAUAUUCUCCCAUCCAGGUCGACAAUGGGGAGAAGCAAAAAAAAAGGGGGAUUUAUCCCUCAAAGAAAUAAAGGCUGCCCAAACAUAUAUCUUACUAAAUUAUGAGGAGAUUGAGCCGUUUGUGAGGAUCAAACAGACGAGAGUAUUGAAGAAAAUUUCUCUUUAUGGUUCAAGGAAUUUAUAUGGCUGGAGGCAGAGUUCGUGGAAAAUCCUCAAGUAGGAGUAAUCCUGCUGUUCGUGUAAGCAUGACAACUCUUCCCAAGCCCACUAGAUUUUCUCCUCGAAAGGUGGUACCCCGACCAAUAUUGUUACGUCAACUCAAAGUAUUAGCCCAAUCAACUCAAAGACACCUCCAGUUACACAAAAUGAGAGUAACCGAACAAGUUAGGGUCUUUCUACCCACAAUAAUGUUCAGGAGCCUUAUUAGAAGCACAUUCUUAAUGUAUUGUUGGAGGCAGAGGUCAUGGAAAUACUCAUGUAAGAAUAAUUCUGCUAUUCGUGUAAACAUGCCAAUUAUUCCCAAGCCCUCUACAAUUUCUCCUGAACAAGGUGGUACCCUAACCAAUAUUGAAACGUUAACUUAAAGUACUAGCCCAACCAUCUUCGGGACACCUCUAUCUACAUCAAAUGACAGUAACUUAAUAGGUCAAGGUCUUUCUACCCGUAGCAAUGUUCCAACAGGUCAUACAAAUACAGUUGCUGAAGACUGGAACCUUCUCAAAUAUGCUCUAGUUUCAUAUCAAAAUCUUUCAAAAAAGUGGUUGAUCUCAAAUAAAUCAUUUGGAAAGGUGUUUCAAAUGAUGUGGGAAAUGGGUAUUUUGGAGAAUUUAAGGUAUAAUUUUUUAUCGUAAGUGAUUUUAGCAAGUGUAUUCACAUAUAUAGAUAGGACAUUCAUGUACUACUUUCAAAAUUUAUUUCAAAAAAAGUUCUGCUAGGAAGUUUCCAUUAGUGGAAACAAAGUCAAACACACUGGAUGGUUAAGGCAACAUUAAAUUAUAGAAAUUUUAUUUCUAAAAUAAAAAAGGAGGAGUUGGGCCAGGUUACGUACAAGAAGAUGUGUUCGAAAGAUGGAUUGAUCUUCGGGAAAGUGCAGAGUAUAUUAGAAAAUCAUAAAUUAAUUAGCAAAAUCGUCGUAGCGGUCGUGAAAUUGCCAUUGGGACUCACACUAGUGGCUCUAUUUCUAUCGGAGAACAUGAUAUUGAAAAACGCUGAGAUCCCACGCCAAGUGAGUUACAUCUUCAUGUUCAUACACAUGGACAUGAUGGAAUAACAAUUGUUGGUUAGCGUUUUCGAGAUAUCCGUCAUAUUACCAAGCUACGAGAGGAGAAAAGAAAAGAAGAAUCUACGGUCUUGGAUCUAAAGCAAAAAAUUACUAUGGGCAGAAACUUUGUGGGUCAUCAUCAUUAACACAUCCAUUUUAUCAAUAAACAUCGACAACAAAAAUGGAUGAGUUUAUAAAGAAAAUGAUGUCUGCACUAACUAGUCAUCUUGUUCCUAUUAUUUUUGAGCAUGUGAAAGCAUCGAUUACUCCAUUCGGCAAUCCAUCAUCUGCGGCGCCCAUGCCUCCUGCUUGUAAUGUGGAUGAGGUUGAUACCUCUAUUUCAAGUUGAUACCUCCAGAGCUUCAAUUUUUGAUGUUAUCACACUUUUUGGAAACUAGAAAUUGCGCGUAGUAAUAUUUUGAUAAACAUGGGUUAAUUUAAGAGUACUUUAUAGUUUUCUUUGUAUA